rnacentral:rRNA from 1 species
AGAGUUUGAUCCUGGCUCAGAACGAACACUGGCGGCGUGGAUUAGGCAUGCAAGUCGAACGGGAAAGCUCCCUUCGGGGAGUGAGUAUAGUGGCGAACGGGUGAGUAACGCGUGGGAAACCUGCCCUUCAGCGGGGGAUAACAGGCCCAACGGCCUGCUAAUACCGCAUACGUCCCCUGAAUUGCAUGGUUCAGGGAAGAAAGGUGGCCUCUCUUUGAAGCUGCUACUGAAGGAUGGUCCCGCGUCCCAUUAGCUUGUUGGUAGGGUAACGGCCUACCAAGGCGACGAUGGGUAGCCGGCCUGAGAGGGUGUCCGGCCACACUGGGACUGAGAUACGGCCCAGACUCCUACGGGAGGCAGCAGUCGAGAAGCUUCGGCAAUGGGCGAAAGCCUGACCGAGCGACGCCGCGUGAGCGAAUGAAGGCCCUAUGGGUUGUAAAGCUCUGUCAGAUUGGGAAGAAAACCUCGCGGUUAAUACCCGCGAGGCUUGACGGUACCAUCAGAGGAAGCACCGGCUAACUCCGUGCCAGCAGCCGCGGUAAUACGGAGGGUGCAAGCGUUGUUCGGAUUCACUGGGUAUAAAGGGUGCGCAGGCGGCCUGAUAAGUCAGGGGUGAAAUAUGUCGGCUUAACCGGCAAACUGCCCCUGAAACUGCCAGGCUUGAGUCCGGGAGAGGUUAGUGGAAUUCCUGGUGUAGCGGUGAAAUGCGUAAAUAUCAGGAGGAACACCAAUGGCGAAGGCAGUUAACUGGCCCGGUACUGACGCUCAGGCACGAAAGCUAGGGAGCGAACAGGAUUAGAUACCCUGGUAGUCCUAGCCGUAAACGAUGGGCACUAGGUGUUGGAGGAGUCUACCCCUUCAGUGCCGCAGCUAAUGCAUUAAGUGCCCCACCUGGGGAGUACGAUCGCAAGGUUGAAACUCAAAGGAAUUGACGGGGGCCCGCACAAGCGGUGGAGCAUGUGGUUUAAUUCGAUGCAACGCGAAGAACCUUACCUGGACUUGACAUGCAGGGGACAGGUGCAGAAAUGUACCCUUCUUCGGACCCCUGUGCAGGUGCUGCAUGGCUGUCGUCAGCUCGUGUCGUGAAAUGUUGGGUUAAGUCCCGCAACGAGCGCAACCCCUGUCUUCAGUUGCCAUCAGUUUGGCUGGGGACUCUGGAGAGACUGCCGGUGACAAACCGGAGGAAGGUGGGGACGACGUCAAGUCAUCAUGGCCCUUACGUCCAGGGCUACACACGUGCUACAAUGGUC